CUCAGUAACACGUCGGUAACCUACCCUCGGGAGGGGGAUAACCCCGGGAAACUGGGGCUAAUCCCCCAUAGGCCUGAGGUACUGGAAGGUCCUCAGGCCGAAAGGGGCUUUCGCCCGCCCGAGGAUGGGCCGGCGGCCGAUUAGGUAGUUGGUGGGGUAACGGCCCACCAAGCCGAAGAUCGGUACGGGCCAUGAGAGUGGGAGCCCGGAGAUGGACACUGAGACACGGGUCCAGGCCCUACGGGGCGCAGCAGGCGCGAAACCUCCGCAAUGCGGGAAACCGCGACGGGGGGACCCCCAGUGCCGUGGCAUCGCCACGGCUUUUCCGGAGUGUAAAGAGCUCCGGGAAUAAGGGCUGGGCAAGGCCGGUGGCAGCCGCCGCGGUAAUACCGGCGGCCCGAGUGGUGGCCGCUAUUAUUGGGCCUAAAGCG
rnacentral:rRNA from 1 species